CACGUAGGGGGCAAGCGUUGUCCGGAUUUAUUGGGCGUAAAGCGCUCGCAGGUGGUUCGUCGCGUCGUGCGUGAAAGACCCCGGCUCAACUGGGGAGGGUCGUGCGAUACGGGCGGACUGGAGGCCAGUAGGGGGAUGCGGAAUUCCGGGUGUAGUGGUGGAAUGCGUAGAGAUCCGGAGGAACACCAGCGGCGAAGGCGGCAUCCUGGACUGGUCCUGACACUCAGGAGCGAAAGCGUGGGGAGCGAGUCCGG
rnacentral:rRNA from 1 species